GGCUGGUCCGAAGGUAGUGAGUUAUCUCAAUUGAUUGUUCACAGUCAGUUACAGAUUGAACUCCUUGUUCUACUCUUUCCUCCCUUCUCACUACUGCACUUGACUGGUCUUUU
rnacentral:Y_RNA from 1 species